rnacentral:rRNA from 1 species
AUGAUAGGGAUGCGGAUGCGGAUGCGGCGGAGGAGAGCGCGUCCACCCGCGCGUGCUCGUCGGCGCGCACGCUCAGGACGUCCCGAGCACGAGCUAACUCGGGGGAGUCGGCCAUGGCCACCUGCUGCAGCUCUGCCUGAUGAUUAUCUUUCUCCGGUGGAUUUGGGAAUUUGUGACCGACUGACUCUGGUUGUUGGUGCCACGCGAGCAAGGUCCAAGGCCUACGGACCAGCACCAACCGCAUCGAUUCCAGUCGACUCAACCACGCCAACAAAAGAGAGAGAGAGAGAGAGAGAGAGAGAGAGAGAGAGAGAGAGAGAGAGAAAUCAGCCACCAAGUUGGGCCGGAAGAAAAGAGAAAAAAGCCCAGCAACACAGUCUCGACUCGUCGCACGACCGCGGUGGACACUGCCUCCCGUCCCCUGAUUCUCCUCGCCACUGCUCCGCGCUCCGGUCGAUCUCGCCGCCCUGA